rnacentral:rRNA from 1 species
UACGAGGGGGGCAAAUGUUGUUCGGAAUCACUGGGCGUAAAGGGAGCGUAGGCGGGUUUUUAAGUCAGGUGUUUAAUCCCGGGGCCCAACCCCGGACAGGCACUUGAAACUGGGAAUCUUGAAUAGUGGAGAGGUCAGUGGAAUUGGGGGUGUAGCGGUGAAAUGCGCAGAUAUCAGGAGGAACACCAGCGGCGAAGGCGGCGCUCUGGGCCGGAACUGACGCUGAGGAGCGAAAGCGUGGGGAGCAAACAGG